AUCACCUUCACCAGUAAAACGAUCUCGGUCACCCAUUACAUCAUGGAGAGAACACAGCAGCAGACAUGCUAAAACAGCUAGUUCAACGGGAAGUACAUCAAUUAGACCAAAAUCACCUGCUACGAAGGCCGUAUCUAUGUCAAGAGAAAAGGCACGCGGCUUACUUGCCGGUUCCGAUACAAAAUCUAAUGCUAGAAGUUUGAAUACGAGGAGCGUCCCUGUAC